AACUGCUUGCUCUCCAACACUUUCCUUUAAGUUGGCUUUAGAAUACGGCAGUAGCUUGAAGUUAACUUGUGGAUAAGGUGGCUAUUAGGGCAGGGUAACUUGUGGAUACGGAUGUUAUCAGGGCACUGCUGCCAGAACGCGGACGAAAAGUUCUCCUUCCCAAGCAUCACUUUAGCAUCACAUACAGUCUAAACGAUGCUUGGGGACAUCAACUUUCAAGUCAUUUAAUCAAAAAUCAAUUUUUUCCAUUUACUUUCUAUGAGCGGGAGAAUUUAAAUAAAUCAAUAUUUUUUAUUUGAAAUUUUUAACUUAUAAAAUUUUUAAAAAAGUAUCCAUUAUAAUUUGAUUUCUAUAGGCAGGAAAAAUGUCUAGUGGCGGGAAGUUAUAAACUUGAAAAUACGAAAAUUUUUUAAGUAAAACAGUAAUUUUGAAAAAAAUUAAUUUGUAAUUUUAUUAAUUAUUUGAUCAAAAAGUUAUGGAGCUAAAUUACGGGUUUAAAAUUUGGCGGAAUGCCAUUAUAAAAUUUUUAUGAUCUCAUAAUCUAACAAAAACCUGUCGCAGUCGAUUUGACGUGGCGGGUUUCAUAUUACGCACGCACACACACACACACACACACACAUACAUACAUAUUUAAACAUUUGAACUGAUGGCACGUUUCGAUAUUUCUCGGCAAAAUAAAACAUAUUACAGUAAAAUUCUUUGAAAAUUACAUAAGACCCUCCUACAAUAGUUAUAUUUCUCAAAGAAAUUUUAACUCGUCGAGUUCACAUCUUUGUUUAUAAUUUUGACCAACAAAUUCAGAAAACCAGUAUCUUACAAGGCGUCCAUGAAUCUCUGAUGCUCAUUUCAACCAAAUUUUUAUGUAAUGUUAAACUUCGAAGCACAUUUCACUGAAAAAUUUUGGAAAGUUUGGAGAUUGAUCUGUAGGGUCAAUUGUUUUUUAGAUUUAAGAAAAUAUAGUUUUACGAUUUGCCUCAACUAAAAUUUUAUUAUUAAAAAUAUUUAUUACUUUAGUAUUUUUUAAAUACAGAUUACAAAUUUCGUCACUGUCUCAAAAAUAGAACACAUUUUUACUUUUAUUUUUUUUUUUUUAAAGAUUUAAAGAAAAGUAUUAUUAGUUUAUCAACAAACCAUUAGACUUAAAAUAUUUGUCCUUAACUUCGAUACGAAUGUAAUUUCAAGUAACCAUUUAUCAA